AGCCCACCUCCUUCUGUGCCCAGGCCUCUUCGUCCCUCUGACAGACAGCAAGGAUCUCUUGGCUCUGAGCGAAAACUUCGUCCCUCCUCAGUACGAAGCAGCUACAGAAGAAAUCCAACACCCAUUUUCCCUGAAAGAAUUCAGAGCCAGGAUCCUUGAGGUGACCUACUUGCCUCUGGGCAGCAGCAGCCCACCAGCCAAGUGACGCCCAGCCUGAAUAGAAGGUGACCUCUGACCAGACACACCCACUGCGGAUCAUCCUCAAGAAGACAACAGACCUGGCCAGUCAACCUGCUCUGAUCAAGCAGCAAAGGAAGCCACCAAAAGACCAGUAGGGGCCCUACAGGUCUUAGUGGCCCUCCCAGACCGCCAGCUGCCAGACACCCCAACCUACACCAAGAAGGAAGAAGAGCAAGCAAAAGGACUAGGGGACCAGGUAACCAGGGGAGGAUGGCUGAAACUCCCGGACCACCGUCUGUUCCUCCCAGAAAGCCUGGGCAGAAUCAUCGUAGAGCAGACCCAUAGGGGCACCCAUCUUGGAGGCACCAAGCUGGCUGAGCUUCUUUGCAAGAAUUACUGUGUUCUGGGACUACAGAGGAUGGCCAAGGAUGUGGCUCGGAGAUGCCAGGCGUGUGCCCAAAUGAACCCUGAGCCCCCCUAUUACGUAGGGAUCGGAGCUUCGGCUCCAUUUGGGGAAAGUGCGGCCCACAUCCGCAACGUGUCCAGGAAUGCAGAAACCCCGGGACUAUGUGCGUGGGGAAAGGGGAGGAGGGGAUUAACUUUAGGAGAUAUUACUGGAGCCGGGCUGUGUGUCGCAUCUGCCAAUUACUCCCUCCCCGAUUCCCCCUAUGCAGAAAAUUGUAACCGGACACUCCGACUUCCGGAGAGACCAGGGUCCGGGACCCCCUGGUAUCUGGUGGCCCCAAAUGGUACCUGGUGGGCAUGCGUCACCGGAAUUACCCCCUUCAUACUCUCCCUAAACCUCCAGACUGGGCCCAAGCCAGGGCUCUGCGUCCUAACUCAUGGUCCUGCAUACCCAAUACUCUCAGCUAGUGGAUACUAGCGACGAAUCCAGGGUCUGAAUUUGUCUCUUAAGACCAGUAGGGAGUGUGAUGAAUUGAAUGUCAGUAAAAAAUUUUAACAAGGAUGGGGUCAAGGAUAGGUAACCAGGCAUAACUCCAAGUUUCCCACUCCCAGACAUCGGUGCGUCAAGGUCCUGAUCAGACCCUUGUAACUGUAAAUCAAGGACAUUUGUGGUUUCUGUGUAUAAAAGCUUGCUGAGCACAAAGCUCAGGGCUGUUACAGGAGGGGCCUGUGGCAGACGCUGGCCAGCUCAAUAAAUCCUCGCUUGCUGUUUAAGACCGAAUUGG